CGUGUUAGGAAUCUGAGAUGAGUUAGUGACUACUAUGAGCACUAACGUGACCCUUGAGCUUCUAGCUACUAAAUCAAAAUUAAAGCAGGAAAACCCAAUAAAGUAAUCCUUUGAUAUUUGUAAGAAAUAUGUCCCAAGACCUUUGGAAAUCCUCAAAUUUUGAAAUAGCUUUCUAGAGUGUCAGUUCUCUUCACAGAGCAUAUGCUCAUGAGUAGGAACAAAGAAACCACACUGAUGUCUGAAUGCUGGGUGGCAGGAGAGGCUCCUCACCAGCUGAGAGGCUCAGCCCCACACACCAGCCUCAGUGUCUGUGAAUCGGUUCCUGCCACUGUAACAUUAUAUGUCACAAUUAGAGGCCCUUAUUCAGACUCAGUCCGUGAAAGUUUAAAAUUUGAGGAUGCUUAUUUAGUACUUUUGAUGCUAAUUUAUAAAGCGAUAAGGAGAGGAAGAAGGCAGUGGGGUGGAUAGUUCCAAAAAUUCUGGGCCACCUGUACAAUAGCAAAUCAAUUAUAAAAAGUUCCUCCUUUGAUGUGAUAUUUGAUGGGAGUAUUUAGGGCUCAGUGUUCUCUUCCUUCUUUUCAGAGCUAUAUCUAUUAUCAUGUUCACAUAGUGAGUAAAAAGUCCUGGAAAAGCAUUAGAAGACCUGGAAUCCAAUCCUGCCUCUGGCAUUUACCAAGAUGUGAUUUUGGAUCAACUACUUGAUCUCUCUGAGCCUCAUUUUCUCCUUUUAUAAGGAUCAAAGCGUGUGAAAUGGACAUGCUCAGUGGGCGCUACGGCCCAGCAGGAACCAGACCCCAUCAUCACGGAACAGAAUGAUGCGAUCUGCCCGCAAGUCUUACUAGUCUUAGCUUCAAGUACAUGCGGACUUUGUCAACUGCGGAGGUUUGUCUUCCCUUUCACCACCCAAGGUCAAAACCCUGGGCAGGGCCUAGACAGAUGCAACCAGCGUGGGCUGCCCAAGAUAAUCACAGUGAAAAGAAGGCCAUAGUGUGGACAUCUUU